GACGAACGCUGGCGGCGUGCUUAACACAUGCAAGUCGAACGGAAAGGCCCUGCUUUUGUGGGGUGCUCGAGUGGCGAACGGGUGAGUAACACGUGAGUAACCUGCCCUUGACUUUGGGAUAACUUCAGGAAACUGGGGCUAAUACCGGAUAGGAGCUCCUGCUGCAUGGUGGGGGUUGGAAAGUUUCGGCGGUUGGGGAUGGACUCGCGGCUUAUCAGCUUGUUGGUGGGGUAGUGGCUUACCAAGGCUUUGACGGGUAGCCGGCCUGAGAGGGUGACCGGCCACAUUGGGACUGAGAUACGGCCCAGACUCCUACGGGAUGCAGCAGUGGGGAAUAUUGCACGAUGGGCGGAAGCCUGAUGCAGCAACGCCGCGUGCGGGAUGACGGCCUUCGGGUUGUAAACCGCUUUCGCCUGUGACGAAGCGUGAGUGACGGUAAUGUGUAAAGAAGCACCGGCUAACUACGUG
rnacentral:rRNA from 1 species